AGCGAACGCUGGCGGCAGGCCUAACACAUGCAAGUCGAGCGGCCCUUCGGGGCAGCGGCGGACGGGUGAGUAACGCGUGGGAACGUGCCCUUGGUACGGAACAACUGAGGGAAACUUCAGCUAAUACCGUAUGUGCCCUACGGGGGAAAGAUUUAUCGCCAUUGGAGCGGCCCGCGUUAGAUUAGCUAGUUGGUAGGGUAAUGGCCUACCAAGGCGACGAUCUAUAGCUGGUCUGAGAGGAUGAUCAGCCACACUGGGACUGAGACACGGCCCAGACUCCUACGGGAGGCAGCAGUGGGGAAUCUUGCGCAAUGGGCGAAAGCCUGACGCAGCCAUGCCGCGUGAAUGAUGAAGGUCUUAGGAUUGUAAAAUUCUUUCACCGGGGACGAUAAUGACGGUACCCGGAGAAGAAGCCCCGGCUAACUUCGUGCCAGCAGCCGCAGUAAGAC
rnacentral:rRNA from 1 species